rnacentral:rRNA from 1 species
GAUGAACGCUGGCGGCAUGCCUAACACAUGCAAGUCGAGCGAACGCACCGGGAGCUUUCUCCCCUGACGUUAGCGCGGGUCGGAAGAGUAACACGUGGAUAGCCUACCUCUAAGACUGGGAUGAUAACGGGAAACCUGUCCUGCUACCGGAUAAUACAUCGAACUGCAUGGUUCACUCGUACAAGACGGUUUUGGUGGCACUAAUAGACGGAUCCGGGUUGGAUGAGUUAGUUGGUAAGGUAGCGGCUUAGCAACGCUACGAUGCGUAGCCGACCUGAGCGGUUGAUCGGCCACACGGGAACUGAGACACGGUCCAGACUCCGACGGGAGGCAGCAGUAGGGAAUCUUCCGCAAUGGGCGAGAGCCUGAUAGAGCAAAACCGCGUGAGUGAUGAAGGUCUUCGGAUGGUAAAGCGCUGUUGUUAGGGAAGAAGAAAAGCGUAUGUACACACGCAGGUGUUGACGGUACCGAAAGAAGAAGCCCCGGCUAACUUCGUG